rnacentral:ncRNA from 1 species
UACCGACAAAGGCAAACUACUCCGAAAGGGUAGGACGCAAAGUCACCGACCUACAGCCUCUGGGCCAGGGUAGCGGGAUUACCGAA